rnacentral:rRNA from 1 species
AGCUCCAAUAGCGUAUAUUAAAGUUGUUGCCCGUCCUUCCUGGCGCAGACUUCGUGUGCUCUUCACUGAGUGUGCGGAGGAUUCGCCACGUUUACUUUGAAAAAAUUAGAGUGUUCAAAGCAGGCUCGCCGGCUUGGAUACAUAAGCAUGGAAUAAUGGAAUAGGACUCUGGUUCUAUUUUGUUGGUUUCUGGACCCGGAGUAAUGAUUAAGAGGGACAGUUGGGGGCAUUCGUAUUUCGUUGUCAGAGGUGAAAUUCUUGGAUUUACGAAAGACGAACUACUGCGAAAGCAUUUGCCAAGAAUGUUUUCA